rnacentral:lncRNA from 1 species
GUUUUCUACUCUACUCCCACCCCUAGGUCUAGGCAUCUGGCUCUGGGGCGGGGUGGGGCACCAGCAGCACAACUCCACCUCUCUCUGGAAGACCCUCACCCCAACCCCGGUCUCCAGACUGAAUGGUGUCUCUCUUUUCUGGGAAACUUGGCUCCUUUGCUGGAGUGUUCAUAUCACCUUCUCCCAAACCUUAACAGGCCAUUGGAGACUGUCACCUUGAACUCUGGACCACAGGGUAUGGUGUGCCAGAAGGACUUUGGUCCCUGCUUGGACAGGGGAGACCUUAAACAGCUUUGAGACAGGGAGCUUGGGGUCUGUGGUUUAGGAGACGGGGUUAGAGAGGCACUAGCCGAGUGUGCAGGUCAGGCUCGUGUGGUCUCCAGGGCACCUCGGGUGCCCCAUCCUCCCGGAGAUCUGAACUUGAGUGGAGUUGAGGAAAUGUGGGGGUGUCACUGAAGAACUGCAGUCUAGGUCCAGAAAGAAAAAGCAACCACAGUAGUUCCCUGCUCAAAGUUCAUAAACUAGAAGAGGAGAAAGAUGACCACAUUGUCCUCCCAGAUGCCAUCGAACGUGGCACUGGUAAGCAAGGAGGGGCCAGGAAUGUUCCUUAGUCUCUCCUGUCAGUUGGGUGCCACUUUUGUGCAGUUCUACCAGACUUCACACCUCACAGAAUUCUCCCACCGUCAAGGGAAUAAAGGAAUUUAGAGGAAACAACUAACUUGUGAACCCAGACCCAAGGGUUCAUGGAGGCCAUUGAGUUUAAGGUACUAGGGACUUGGUGGAGUCCAGUCUCCAGCUUAUUUUUUUUAAAGGAUUGUGUCCCAGAUAUAUGCCUGAAGACUGAUUUUGGAUGGUGAAAAUUGUACCUAGUCAUGAGUGUUGGACUGAGAUGGCCAAGGACCCAGCCCAGCCCACAAGUUCCCCUAAAGGAGCCUCUUCUACAGCUGCCACUAGUUUCGAGUUCCCCAGUGGUAUGAGAAGGCUCCUUAGGCACGUUGGGGGUGGGGAGGCAGGUGUGAUUGACUGCUGCUCCUUUUGCUUAUUGUGGAUGAACCAGAAGUGUCCCUAAUAGCAGGGCCAGAUGCAGAGGGUGUUGGAAUGGGGGCUGGGAGGAAAGGUGACAGCAGUCUACUUCCAGAGACUACAGUAUGAAAUGAGGGACCAUAUUCCUCCUGGAAGGGCAUGAACCUAAGAUGGAGAAAUUCAAAUGCGUCACUGAGCAGAAGUGAAACUGACUCUCUUGCCCUUCUUGAAAUAGAGAUGGAGGAUCUUUUCUGUCUGGUCGACAGGAAGGUGACUCAUAUUUCAGCUGCCCCUGUUGUGUAAGAAAUACGAAGAAAUGAGGUAAAGGACCCCAAUUGUGCCCUAAUACUGUGAAGAAAGCUCAGCAUGGCAGGAAUAGACACGUUUCUCUGCUUUUUUGGAUAAUGAUGUCCCAUUAAAACAGUAUUUCUUAUAAAUUUAAACUGCAACAGUUUUGCUUACUUGGCUUCUUCAUUGUUCCUCUACCAGGAGUCAGGACUUCUCCUG